CUAGCUAGAGAAAAGUUAACAUUGCCGCCGUGAAUCUUUUGAACCCUAAGAAACAAACCAGUUGUCAGAGUGUACUAAAAAAAAAAAAAAAAUCCAGUUUUCAGAGAACCCCCGCAAAAUUGGCUUUCAAUAAUGAAUACGCAACGUUUCGGAGCCCUAAUCCGAAACGCGAAGCGGUUCUAUUCGUCCUCACCCGCGAUCACUAGACCAGAGAAAUUCUUCUCCGCCGACGAUGGCGAAGCCGGGAGCUCGGUUUUCCGGCACGCCCUGAAAUUCCAGCGGCCGGCGACGAUCAUGUGGAAGUGGAAUAAGCAGUUGCUGAACUCCGGUAGCUUUAUUGGGACCGUCGAGCUUCCUUUGAAGAUUAUGGACACAAGGAAAACCGGUCGCUUUGGCGUUCACACUAAGCUCUCCGUCAAUUCCUCCCCCGACGAUUCCAAUCGCACGGUUAGGAUACUACUGUUGAUGUGGGACGAGAUGGCAGAAAUGUCUCUACAACAUUUGAAACCAAAUGAUUUUAUCUAUGUUUCAGGUCCUUUAGGGUGUUAUACAAAGGCUUAUGAGGAUGGAGACCUCAGAACACAUUACAAGGUCACAGUCGAAGAAUUGAAUUAUGUUGCCCGAGAUGGCCAAGGCCCAACCAGCCAGAAAGUCGAGGAGUCGCAAUUAGGAGCAGGUAGAGCUGACUUGGCGGGGUAUGAAAACCGCAAUUACUUGUGGCAAGUGUUUUUCACCAAUCCAUAUGAAUGGCGGGAUUUAAGGAAACGUAAGGUAAAUCCAAGACAGCCAGAUUUCACACACAAGGAUACUGGUGAAGCUCUCUGGUUGAGUCCAAAUGAUCCUCCAUGGAUUAAAAGGCAACUCCAGUUGCUUGAUACAAAAAUGGCAGAACAAGGCCAAGGUGAUUUCGGUUUGCGUUCCCGUGUCUCCAUGUGGGUUUAUGAUGAGUAGAGGCCAGUCUGGAGGCCUUGAAAGAACCAUCUGCUUUUGCGUAUUGGUCAUGUACAGGGUUUUACGAUCUUAGUCAUUGCAUCUAACUGGAAGGUCAAAGAAUGACAGAAGCAAUAUCAAAACUAGACAGGAAUUUGAGGUUUUUACGUCUCCAAGCAUAUUUCUCAAUCUCACUUAUGAAAAAAGAAAAGAAAAAAAAAACAUAUAUAUAUAUAUAUCUCUCUCUCAAUCUCAGAGUUGCAGUGUGUUGAGCACUGAAUAUUCUGCAUUCAGUUCUCUCUACAGCAAGUUGCAGGGUGAUCACUGUGAAGAUGACAUAUGACAUAUGUAUAGGUUUCAUGCAAUAAUUAAUUGGGGCACUCCUAAAGGAUGGGAUCAUUGCCAUGUUGAUGCCCUGUUGAGACAAUGAGUCGAGCAACAAAAGAUGAAGAGUGCCUUUUUCAGUACAUGGUAGAGGCUUCUAGUUCUAGUAGAGGGCUUUUGAAAAUUUGUAGGUUCUUAGAAUGGGAAGAAGAUGAUGAAGAUGGUGAUGAUGGCCAUGGCUACAUUAAACUUCAAGGUUUAUAAAUUGGACGGGAAGAGAAAAAAAAGGUAGGUUGGGGUGCAACUCUUGGGCAACAAGGUUUUGUUUGUAUAAUAUAAUUGUGCACUGUCUCUCAGCCCUGAAAUGUCCUGGGAUCAAAGCAAAUAGCAUUACUUCAUGGAUGAUUGUUUUGAAGGCUAUUAUGAUUUUAUGAAUGUCCGUAUGAGAAUUUCAACAAUGGUAUGUUCAGUUUGGAGGACGAGAGCCUAAAAAAAGAUUUCUACACCUUGCAUUUGGAUUAGUCCUAAAACUGAAGGGAUAUUGCAUUUCAUCUCUGUCAAACUUGUUAGGUGCUGUAUUGAAAUUUGAAAGAAUGUCAAAAUGAGUCUAUUAAGUUUUCUAUUA